AGUCGAACGGCAGCGCGGGGCAACCUGGCGGCGAGUGGCGAACGGGUGAGUAAUAUAUCGGAACAUACCCUAGAGUGGGGGAUAACGUAGCGAAAGUUACGCUAAUACCGCAUACGCACUAAGGUGGAAAGUGGGGGAUCGCAAGACCUCAUGCUCAUGGAGUGGCCGAUAUCUGAUUAGCUAGUUGGUGAGGUAAAGGCUCACCAAGGCGACGAUCAGUAGCUGGUCUGAGAGGACGACCAGCCACACUGGAACUGAGACACGGUCCAGACUCCUACGGGAGGCAGCAGUGGGGAAUUUUGGACAAUGGGGGCAACCCUGAUCCAGCAAUGCCGCGUGAGUGAAGAAGGCCUUCGGGUUGUAAAGCUCUUUUGUCAGGGAAGAAACGGCGGUCUCUAAUAUAGACUGCUAAUGACGGUACCUGAAGAAUAAGCACCGGCUAACUACGUGCCAGCAGCCGCGGUAAUACGUAGGGUGCAAGCGUUAAUCGGAAUUACUGGGCGUAAAGCGUGCGCAGGCGGUUAUAUAAGUCAGAUGUGAAAUCCCCGGGCUCAACCUGGGAACUGCAUUUGAGACUGUAUGGCUAGAGUGUGUCAGAGGGGGGUAGAAUUCCACGUGUAGCAGUGAAAUGCGUAGAUAUGUGGAGGAAUACCGAUGGCGAAGGCAGCCCCCUGGGAUAACACUGACGCUCAUGCACGAAAGCGUGGGGAGCAAACAGGAUUAGAUACCCUGGUAGUCCACGCCCUAAACGAUGUCUACUAGUUGUCGGGUCUUAAUUGACUUGGUAACGCAGCUAACGCGUGAAGUAGACCG
rnacentral:rRNA from 1 species